GGGCCUUUGGUCAGAUGAACAAGCCACUUGCAUCCAUUGUAACCAGGCUCAGAUUAGGCCAAUAAUCUGCUGUAGAUUAAGGCUUUAUUCUUUGAUUACAUUUCUAUCCCACCAUUUCCCCAAGGAACUCCAGGUGGUGCCCAGUAUUAUUCCCCACUCCCCUUUUCAUCCUCACAACACCCCUGUGAGGUGGGUUAGAAAUGAGGGGGCAGUGGCGGACCCAAGGUCAAGCGCCGGGUUUCACGGUUUAGUAGGAAUUUGAACUCUGUUCUCUCUCAGCUCCUAGGCCACCACUCUAACCACUACACCACACUGUCUCCCAGGAGGUCUCUCAUCCUGGCACUGAACAGACCCAAGACCUGUAUUCAUAUCCUGUUGCUGUUUUUUAACAAAAUUUAACAAGGCUGCUUUCGUUUUUCGCUUUAAAAAAGAAACUCUUCAUUGGGGACGUCGUCUCCUUUAAAGGCUCCUGACUGCCGCUUCCUUCUGCAUUCGGAACCCAGAGCGGAAGGGAAAAGGUCACUGUCCCUUUAAGGCCGCCGCACGCCAGCGAACAUUCCAAGCUCUCCCCGUCCCUCUUUAGCGCGUCAGCGGCAUUCCGGGAAGAGGUCGGCGUCGGCCCCUCUCCGUCCUUGACAAGAGGGGCGGGCGGCGACGCGAAACAAAGAAAUAUUCGCGUCGCGAAAGAGGAGGAAAGAGGAUUCAGAGCGCCGUCGCUUGCGCCCGAGCGCUUUCUGAGCGCUACGGCAAGCGACGAGCCCCCUUGCCCAUCCGCACUCCUCAGAACUGGCAGGCCCGCCGCCGGGAGAUGACUCAUGAGGGGGCGUGGCUGCAAAUCCCUGUUUCCUUCUCUCGUGCUAUGACUCAUCGUUGACCGCGGAAGCCCCCCGCGCACGCGCAGCAGUGCCGUCUAUUUAUAAACCGGCCCAAGGAGGGUGAGUGAUGUCAUGCAGGCGGCAGUUGGGCAGCGACCGAGAUUCGGUCUCGCCCCGCCUGUUGCCUAGCGCCCUAGCGGUGUUUACUCUGCUGGGGGCCGCAGGUUGCCUGGCAACCGCGCCAGGCCGCAUGAGAGCGGGAGGGCUGUGGAGGGGGGUGGGACCCUUAAGCAAAGGCCGCUCAAGAGGGGGACGAAAAGAAAUAGGCCCUUAAAACCCUUUAGGGCUUCUGCUCAUGCCCAGGAACACUUCCCUCAUGUUGUUGGUUUUAUUUAGAGGGGUUUUUGUCCUGCUUUUCAGCCCAUAAAGAGUCCCAGGGUGGCUUACAUAUGUCAAUAAUAAGCAUCAUCAUGCGUAUUAUAUAACACAUAUAUAGCUAGGUGUAUUCUCCAUGACAACUUUAAAGUUUCUUUUUAAAUAGUCCCAGGGAGGAAUAGUAAAGCAGGUUCAUAUAGUUGGGUUGGGAUGAGGCAAGGCGUUCUAAUUUAUUGAAAGGCAUGAAGCAAAGUUAUUUAUGCUGGGUCAAAGAGUUUCGCUUCUUUUUGCCUAAAAUACAGUGGAAUGUUGGAUUAAUGUGUUUUUUAGUAUAUUUUAGUAUACUAUGUUUCUAAAGAAAUGUUAAUAUGAAUGAGUUUUGGUAUUAUGUGUUAGGUUUAUUUGUAAUGGAUGAUUAUGUGUGAUUAAAAACCAAUACAAAAAUCAAAAAGUUCUGGGCCGAUAUCAUGCCUUUAAACAUAUCUAUGGUGUGACCGCAUUUGAAAGACUGUAUAAUUCUGGUUGCCUCACCUUCCAAAGGAUAAGGUAGAAUUGGAAAGGGUUCAGAGAAGGUUAAUCAAAAUAAUCAAGGGAAUGGAGUGACUCUCUUAGCCAUCAUGGUGGCUAUGAUCAGUCUCCAUGGUUAGAGACAGCAGCGCUUCUGAAUAUUGCUGGAAACCACAUGUUCGGAUGCUGCUUUUGGGUUUUCUACAGGCAGCUGGCUGGCCACAGAGAGCAGGAUGCUGGACUAGUUGGGCCAUUGGCCUGAUCCAGCAGGUUCCUCUUAAGUUCUUAUGACUGAUUUGCCUUGAAUUAAGACCUGGCAGCAUUCUCUGUGAGUGGAAAAACAUGGUCAUUGUGGCACACAAAAAAAAUUAUACAGUGGUACCUCGGGUUAAGUACUUAAUUCGUUCCGGAGGUCCGUUCUUAACCUGAAACUGUUCUUAACCUGAAGCACCACUUUAGCUAAUGGGACCUCCUGCUGCUGCCACGCCGCCGGAGCACGAUUUCUGUUCUCAUCCUGAAGAAAAGUUUUUAACCUGAAGCACUAUUUCUGGGUUAGCAGAGUCUGUAACCUGAAGCGUAUGUAACCUGAGGUACCACUGUAAUAGGUUUGGUUGUACCACGUGAUGAAUGUUUAAGAUGGAAUCCCAGUAGAAUAUUAAAAUUUAUUAUUUAUUACAACAUUUUAAAUCAGUAUACAUCUGUAAAAAGACAUGAGAAAUGGACCUUUAGGAAGGCAGGAAACAAAAUGAAACCCGAGGAACGUGGGACCUGGGGUCAGAUGAAGCAAGAUUAGGAAAGAGGGAUGAUGAAACUGCAGGAAAAGGGAAAGAGCAGUGGUUCUAGGAAAGGAAGAGUGGAAGAAAAGUUGAUAGAGGAAAGAGCUAAGAUGAAUCUGAUGAGAGUUAAUCUUAGUUCCUUUACUAUCUCUGUCAAUCAGAAAAGCAGCUGUAAAAUACAAGUGGCCUGUGGUUCACACAGAUGUGUGAAAUUCAAGAGAGAAAUGGAGCUAUUCAUAGAUACUGAAGGCAUGGACUAUAGAAAUAAACAAAUUCAAUUUGUCUGUUAUUUUUCACUGUCAGCUUCCCCAGUGUUCUGCUCAUGCUCAGCCCUCAAGCAUUUUCAGCGUUGUUUGGAGCCAACGGAAUGGCUUGGUGCCUUGGUGGUGAGCCUUGCUGUUGAAUUCACAGGGAGGAUUUUUUGUGUAUUUGAUGUGCCACCUGUAGUGACUUGAGACAAUUGAAUCUGGGCAGCCUUGUCACGCCCUCAAGGAAUGGAUAGGACAUGGGAUUUGUAUGUAAGUGUUUGGGAUCGUGCAGGUCCGAUUGCGUAAAAGACAAGAAAGGAGUAAUAAUAAAGGUUCCUAGAUUUACGGUUUUUAUGGCUGUGUCCUGCUCUGUUGAUGUCUUAGAGCCAGUUAGAUCCUUCAGUAUGGGGUUGCUUAAUCAAUUGUGCAAAACAUGGAGCUCCGAUGUCUUACUUUUAUUCCCAGGAUAGACUAUAAAAGUAACAAAUUACUUCUAACCAGAUUGAAAAGAUUGAUUUUUUUAAGAAUUAGAAGUAAGGGGGAAAAUAGUGCUGCCAGUUUUUCCAAUUGCUUUCUUUGGACGUGAUUGUUAAUUUUCCUUGAUAUAUUGAGCUCUAUAAAUCUAUGUUUGUCGCCAUGUCUUUAAAUAAUACAUAUUAACCACAGAUGAAUUGAAAACUGCAUCAGAACAGCAAGGCUUCUUGGUCAAGGGCUGUUCAUUUUGCUUCUGACACUUUGUGGGGGCCUUUAUUUGUAAAUAAAAACCGCUAAUGCCAUGUAAUAUCAUGUAAAAUAGAGAUUUGUAAUUCAGUAAUAAUAAAAGAGAAGUGCCCCAUAUUAAGGACAUAGGAUGAAUUCCAGUGUGGUAGUUCCACUAAUGGAAUGGCUUUUGACCCAAUAGAAGUGUCUGGUAACAGAAAAGGAGAGGAGAUGAUUCUCCUGGAUUUCAGCUAUCUACAUCAUCUGGAGGAUCCCCCAACUGUCUGGAACAGGUUUUGUGGAGGGUCUGCAGUGGGAAGGGGGAAAUGGAGAAAAUUGCCUCCCUGCUUAACAUUAGUGAAUGGCUCUGUUAGAUCAAAAGUUGUUCUGUGCGUGGGACAGCAGCCUUGGAUUUCAUCCAACAGAGGCUGCUUUAUACCCAGACAGACUGUUGAUUCAUGUAGGCAAAGAAUUAAGGCUGCACUCCUUAACGUAUGUCCUGGGGCGUGAGUACCAUUGGACUUAAUACUAAGUAAGAAGUGCAUAGAAUUGCACUGCCAGUGUUACCAAAUUAGUGAUGAAGCCCCUACAAAGUGUGUGACACUAUUCAGCCCCUAUGAUACUGUGUAGCAAAUCCCUCUUAAGACACCUGUUCAACCUUCAUUCUUUUCUGUUGUCAAGAGCUGCAGUAGGGUUUGGUCAUCCAUGAAGAAAUAAUGUUUUGGGUACAUUUUCUUUUGGUUCCUUUAUUUAUGUGCCUGUGGGCAGGGGCUUGGAAGAGGAGAAGGAAAAGCUUCAUUUUUCCACAUGUAAUAUUCUGGGAUUGCCAAGUCCUAGGAGCUAUUAUGUUGAUGUAAUUGCCUCCUUCCUGUUCCUGGCUACGUAAAUAGAAUAGACAUUUGGAUCACCCGUGAUUCUUCUAAUUUUAGUCCCUAUUUCUCAAUUUUGUGACAAAAGACAGUGCUGAUAAGAUCUCUGAGAGUUUUCACGUGGGUCUCUCAUUUCUUAGUUUCCAAAAGCAGAAAACUGGAGAUCCACAUGUUCGUAUCAGGAGCUGAAGUUGAAUAUUAACUUGAAUCUUGCAGGCCAGCUCUUUUCCACUCCAGACAAAAUGUGAGUCUACUGAAAGCUACUGAGAAUGUUUUUAUUCCAGUAGCUUUUCAUGUGACAGAAGGUGAAGGACAGUGCAACAGUGGCCGAAACCAAACUGCAACCACUCAGAAUGUAGAAAUCUUGGGGUCUCAUUAGCAGUUUUCUUUUUUUAAAAAAAUCUGAAUGUAUUGUUGUACUUUCAUAAAAUCAUUCUUAUCAAUUUCACCAGUAUGAGUUUCCCUCUAACUUUAAAAGGGCAUGCAUUUGUAUCUGCACUGGAGCUGUUAAAAAGAAGAAAAGGAAACACUGCUAAAAUUGAUGCUUCACCACAAUCUAAGCAGCGAAAAGAAGGAAUAAUUGAAUUGGUGAAAUUAACAAGGUUUCCCGGUUUUCCCAAAGGGAAAUGGGAGGGGCUGACCAUCAGUACAGAAAGGCAUUAAUGUAACCAGCCAUGUCAUGAUGGGACUAUAUCCAAGUACACUCAUAGGGCAGCAUGGGCAAACGUCUAGUGUAGGCAAUGAGGGCAGGGGAGGACAAUGGCUUCUGCAGUAGCUGGAGGAGUGUCAUGACCUUGAAAGAGGGGGAAACUGAAGUUUUUAAAGGCCACAUGAACUGAAGUGAGGAAAGAUUCCCCAACGAUCAUCAAAGUACUUCAAAAUGUACAUGUGAUUUCAGUUUAAACUACAGUACUGCCUCUUUAACUUAUUGCAACUUCACCUAAGGGCCAGGCAAUGGCUGCUAUUGAAUCUGACUGGGAAUAUAAGGGUUUAGUUGAGCUUUGCACUUUGGCAGAGGAGUGCUGGCAAUCCUUCUGAGUUCUCCCAAGUCCUACAGAACUCUACGCUAGCCUGCUUAUUCAGAAAGCUUCUGUAUUGGAUUCCUGCUCCUUGUUUCAUAAGCAUCCAGCUACCUGCUGCCAGUCACCCUAUGCUCCAGGCUGUUUCCUUUGAGCAUUAAGUAGGCUCAUGUAGGAUUACAGCUUAUAAUACCUACUUCAACGUAAGCCCCAUUGACUUCAAUGGGACUUACUCCAGUGUGUGUGAAUAGAAUUGCGCUUUAAAUUUGCAUAAGCCACAGCACAAACGCAUCAGCAAAUGACCAUGUAUCAUUGAAGGCAAUGCUGUAAAACGGAUGGGGAACCUGUCACCCUCCAGAUAUUGCUGGACCACAAUUCCCACCAUCCCUGAUCAUUGGACAUAUUGACCGGGCUGGUGGGAGUUAAAGUCUAAUAUCUGGAGAGCCACAGGUUCACCACCUUGCUAUAAAAUACUGUAUGCACUAGUUUGCCUCUCGUUUACUUACUGCUAAUCUUAGUGCAUUUGUUUUACAGUCCAUGCUUCUUCCUCUAAACUCUUAUAUUAAGUUUUAUUUAAACAACAACAACAACAAAAAACCAGUUUCCAUUGCUUGAUACACAUGCACAUUUGGUAAGGCUUGCCCAAUAGGCAAUAUGACAAGAUAUUAGGAUGUGUUCAGGAAUGUACAUGGUGACUUCUUCUGCACAAGAAAUUUUCCAAGCGUAGCGAUGACUAUCUUUACCUAUCUUAAAAUGGUUUACAAUUAAAGAAAAUGGGACCGGCCCUAAUAAUAGAGGAGAUGCUGGACAAUGGCCAAAGGUCGAAGAUAUUUAAGAGUUUUGUGUGGAUCAGUUGUGGAUAAAUGUACGAUCUCUCACAUGCUGGGAAGCUGAGUUGUAACUAGGCACAUAUCACUGGAUGUGGUGUGCGGUGUACAUUUUUUCAUGCUGUACUUGGUGUAAGAUGAAGUGAAAAACACCCAUCUGGACAAGCCCUUUGGAUCUGAUGUUAAUGGGUUGGUUAAAGUCAGCCCCAGGCAAGAACAAGUCAGAGACAGAUUAAUACGUCCUGGGCUUUGAGAGAGUGGAGAAACUAGACUUUGAGAGGGGGUGGGUGAGUUUGAUGUCUCUUGAUCAUUCAGGUUCAUAGUCUUAAGGUUCUGCUACAUCUAUUGCUGAACUCAAAUCUUUACACAGGGAAGAAGAUCGUGUGGAUUUCUGGAUGAUGCA